rnacentral:rRNA from 1 species
GAAUUUUAUAUAAUUUGUUAAUAAUAUAUAUAACAGAUUAUAUUUGAUUGGGAGGAUCUUUAAAUUAAAAAAACUUUAAUAUAUUUAUAAACUUUAAUUAAUGAAAAUAAAUAAAAGAUUGAUUAAAAAAUUAUUGCAGAGUAAAUUACCUUAGGGAUAACAGCAUAAUAUUUUUUUUUAGAUCAUAUAUAAAAAAAUGUUUAU